rnacentral:rRNA from 1 species
GCUAAAUACCGGCCAGAGACCGAUAGCGCACAAGUAGAGUGAUCGAAAGAUGAAAAGCACUUUGGAAAGAGAGUCAAACAGUACGUGAAAUUGUUGAAAGGGAAGCGCUGGCAACCAGACCUGUCCGCGGGCUUCAGCCCUCGUUCUCGAGGGUGUACUUGUCCGCGAUCAGGCCAGCAUCGGUUCGGGCGGUUGGAUAAAGGCCUUGGGAAUGUAGCUUCCCCCGGGAAGUCUUAUAGCCCUYGGCGCAAUGCGRCCAGCCCGGACCGAGGACCGCGCUUCGGCUAGGAUGCUGGCGUAAUGGUUGUCAGCGACCCGUCUUGAAACACGGACCAAGGAGUUGACCACUUAUGCGAGUGUUUGGGUGUCAAACCCAUACGCGUAAUGAAAGUGAACGGAGGUGAGAACCCUUAAGGGCGCAUCAUCGACCGAUCCAGAUGUCUUCGGAUGGAUUUGAGUACGAGCAUAAUUGGUCUGACCCGAAAGAUGGUGAACUAUACUUGAAUAGGGUGAAGCCAGAGGAAACUCUGGUGGAGGCUCGCAGCGGUUCUGACGUGCAAAUCGAUCGUCAAAUUUGGGUAUAGGGGCGAAAGACUAAUCGAACCAUUCUCGWWCGCUACUAGGUGGUUAAUCAGGGKCSGYCCGGRGCGUAUCCCUGGGCGCGAACCCUCAGUCCUUCGGGGCGACAYUACCAUCUUGCAUGGACGUCCCGGCGG